GGGGGGCGGCGGCUGCUGAGGCGACCGUUGCGCGCGCGGGCGGUGGCGCGGGCCGGAGCGCCCGGAGCGGGAGCGAGCGGCGCGGCCCGGGUACUGUUCCAAGAAGAAGACAUGGUAGCAUCAAGCAUUCCCUGAAAUAUGGCUCUGCGGGAACAAUGAGACGUGUUCCUGGUCUUGGAAGCUCAUUAGAAUGUAUAGAGCAGGGGAGGCGGCCAAGCGCCCAUUGCCUGGGCCGACGCCCCUGAGGGUGCGGAGCGUGGAGGUCGCCCGGGGGAGGGCCGGCUACGGAUUCACACUUUCGGGACAGGCACCCUGUGUGCUCAGCUGCGUCAUGAGAGGGAGCCCUGCGGAUUUUGUGGGCCUCCGCGCUGGAGACCAGAUAUUUGCAGUCAAUGAAAUCAACGUGAAAAAAGCGUCUCAUGAAGAUGUAGUGAAACUGAUUGGGAAGUGCUCUGGCGUCCUGCACAUGGUGAUUGCUGAAGGCAUCGGCCACUUCGAGUCCUGUUCCAGUGAUGAAGAAGGGGGACUGUAUGAAGGAAAAGGCUGGCUGAAGCCCAAGCUGGAUUCAAAGGCACUGGGUAUAAACAGAGCAGAGCGAGUCGUGGAGGAACUGCAGUCUGGGGGGAUUUUCAAUAUGAUUUUCGAAAACCCGAGCCUCUCUGCGAGCAGCUCAGAGCCCUUGAGGUUGAAACAAAGAUCCCUUUCGGAGUCAGCCGCAGCACGAUUUGAUGUUGGACAUGAAAGUGUAAAUAACCCAAACCCCAGCAUGCUUUCUAAGGAGGAAAUAUCCAAAGUUAUUCAUGAUGAUUCAGUUUUCAGUAUUGGACUCGAAGGUCAUGACGACUUUGCAUUGGAUGCAAGUAUUUUAAACGUGGCCAUGAUCGUGGGCUACUUAGGUUCCAUUGAGCUUCCCUCCACGAGCUCCAACCUGGAGUCCGACAGCCUGCAGGCCAUCCGCGGCUGCAUGCGGCGCCUGCGGGCAGAGCAGAAGAUCCACUCGCUGGUGACCAUGAAGAUCAUGCAUGACUGUGUGCAGCUGGGCACUGACAAGGCCGGGGUGGUGGCCGAGUACCCGGCCGAGAAGCUGGCCUUCAGUGCCGUGUGCCCGGACGACAGGCGGUUUUUUGGGUUGGUGACCAUGCAGACAAAUGAUGACGGGAGCCUGGCCCAGGAGGAAGAGGGUGCCCUGCGGACUUCCUGCCAUGUGUUCAUGGUGGACCCAGACUUGUUUCAUCACAAGAUCCACCAAGGCAUUGCUCGGCGCUUUGGGUUUGAGUGCACGGCUGACCCCGACACCAAUGGCUGUCUGGAGUUCCCGGCGUCCUCCCUCCCCGUCCUGCAGUUCAUCUCUGUCCUGUACCGAGACAUGGGCGAGCUGAUUGAGGGCAUGCGGGCCCGCGCCUUUCUGGACGGGGACGCCGACGCCCAGCAGAACAACAGCACCAGCAGCAACAGUGACAGCGGCAUUGGGAACUUCAACCAGGAGGAGAAGAGCAACCGGGUCCUUGUGGUGGACCUGGGUGGGAGCUCGAGCAGGCACGGCCCUGGAGGCAGCGCAUGGGACGGUGUGGGCGGGAGAGGUGCCCAGCCCUGGGGUAUUCCCUGGACUGCGCCCUUCUGUCCGGACCCCGAGGGGAGCCCCCCAUUUGAGGCUGCUCAUCAGACUGAUAGGUUCCGGGACCUGAGCAAGCACCUGGGGCCGGCCUCUCCUGUGGAGUUACCCCCAACUUCUUCGAGGAGCUCGGUCCCCCCUUCCAAAAGGGGCACUGUGGGUGCCAGCUCUGCUUUCAACCAGCGCUGGCUCCCGGUCCAUGUCCUCCGGGAGUGGCAGUGCGGACACACCAGUGACCAGGAGUCUUACACGGAUUCCACUGACGGCUGGUCCAGCGUCAACUGUGGCACACUGCCCCCUCCCAUGAGCAAGAUCCCCGCGGACCGCUACAGGGUAGAGGGCAGUGCCCCGAAGAGGGAGUGGUCCAGGAAGGCCUUUGGAAUGCAAAACAUUUUUGGUCCCCAUCGAAAUGUUCGAAAGACUAAGGAAGAUAAAAAGGGCUCAAAAUUUGGGCGGGGCAUUGGACUCACUCAGCCUUCCCCACGCACACCUGCCCGGAGAUCAUUUGGGAGAUCCAAGAGAUUCAGUAUCACUCGCUCCCUUGAUGACCUUGAGUCUGCAACUGUGUCUGAUGGCGAGUUGACGGGUGCUGACCUGAAGGACUGCGUGAGCAACAACAGCCUGAGCAGCAAUGCCAGCCUCCCCAGCGUGCAGAGCUGCCGGCGCCUGCGUGAGAGGAGGGUCGCCAGCUGGGCUGUGUCCUUUGAGCGCCUGCUACAGGACCCUGUUGGUGUCCGCUACUUCUCUGAUUUUCUAAGGAAAGAAUUCAGUGAAGAAAACAUUUUAUUCUGGCAGGCCUGUGAAUAUUUUAAUCAUGUUCCUGCACAUGACAAAAAAGAGCUUUCCUACAGGGCCCGGGAGAUUUUCAGUAAGUUUCUGUGCAGCAAAGCCACCACCCCAGUCAACAUCGACAGCCAGGCCCAGCUAGCAGAUGAUGUCCUCCGUGCACCUCACCCGGACAUGUUCAAGGAGCAGCAGCUCCAGAUCUUCAAUCUCAUGAAGUUUGAUAGCUACACUCGCUUUCUGAAGUCCCCGCUGUACCAGGAGUGCAUCCUGGCGGAAGUGGAGGGCCGAGCACUCCCAGACUCGCAGGAGGUCCCCAGCAGCCCGGCCUCCAAGCACAGCCUCGGUUCAGAACACUCCAGUGUGUCCACGCCAAAAAAGUUAAAUGGAAAAUCAAAAUCCGGGCGAUCCCUGAACGAAGAGCUGGGAGAUGAGGACAGCGAGAAGAAGCGGAAAGGCGCGUUUUUCUUGUGGUCGCGGACCAGGAGCACUGGGAGGUCCCAGAAGAAGAGAGAGCACGGGGACCACACAGACGACCCCCUGCAUGCCAAUGGAGGCCUGUGUCGCCGAGAGUCCCAGGGCUCUGUGUCCUCUGCGGGGAGCCUGGACCUGUCGGAGGCCUGCAGGACCCUGGCGCCUGAGAAGGACAAGGCCACCAAGCACUGCUGCAUUCACCUCCCGGAUGGGACAUCCUGUGUGGUAGCUGUCAAGGCGGGCUUCUCCAUCAAAGAGAUCCUGUCCGGACUCUGUGAGAGGCAUGGCAUCAACGGGGCGGCCGCAGACCUCUUCCUGGUGGGCGGGGACAAGCCUCUGGUACUGCACCAAGACAGUAGCAUCCUGGAGUCAAGGGACCUGCGUCUAGAAAAGCGCACCUUGUUUCGGCUGGAUCUUGUACCGAUUAACCGGUCAGUGGGACUCAAGGCCAAGCCCACCAAGCCUGUCACGGAGGUGCUGCGGCCCGUGGUGGCCAAGUAUGGGCUGGACCUCGGUGGCCUGCUGGUGAGACUGAGUGGAGAGAAGGAGCCCCUGGACCUCGGCGCCCCUAUAUCAAGUCUGGACGGACAGAGGGUUGUCUUGGAGGAGAAGGACCCUUCCAGAGGAAAGGCAUCCACAGAUAAACAGAAAGGCGCUCCCGUCAAACAGAACACAGCUAUAAAUUCCAGCUCCAGAAACCACUCGGCUACGGGAGAGGAAAGAACACUAGGCAAGUCUAAUUCUAUUAAAAUAAAAGGAGAAAAUGGAAAAAAUGCUAGGGAUCCCCGGCUUUCAAAGAGAGAAGAAUCUAUUGCAAAGAUUGGGAAAAAAAAAUAUCAGAAAAUUAAUUUGGACGAAGCAGAGGAGUUUUUUGAGCUUAUUUCCAAAGCUCAGAGCAACAGAGCAGAUGACCAACGUGGGCUGCUAAGGAAGGAAGACCUGGUGUUGCCAGAGUUCCUUCGUUUACCGCCUGGUUCCACAGAACUCACCCUCCCCACUGCGGCUGCCAUGGCCAAGGGCUUUAGCAAGAGAGGCGCAACAGGCAGUGGCCGGGAGAGCGCCUCCCAGCCCAGCGAGCAGUGGGAGCCCGCCCAGGAGAGCAGCGACAGCCUGUCCACCAGCCCGGGCUCUGCCCCCAGCCCCCCUGGGACGACUUCCCCUGGGCAGAAGUCUCCCAGCGGGGCCUUCUGUACCCCCCAGUCCCCCAGCUCCCUCGAGCAGGAGGGCACCACACAGAUCUGGAAGAGGCAGUCUCGGGAAGUGGAGGCCAGGGGCAUCCAGACGGUGGAGGAUGAGCAUGUGGCUGAGCUGACCCUGAUGGGGGAGGGGGACAUCAGCAGCCCCAACAGCACCUUGCUGCCGCCGCCCUCUGCCCCCCAGGACGCGCUGGAACCUUCAAGACCAGGUACCUCCAGGUUCUGAUCCCCUCCACCUUGGCCCCGUCAGCGCAGUCUGCUCAGCUUCCAGUCAGAAAGGACAGCGGGCCCCCGGCCGCCACUGUUUGCUGGCAGUCUCGGUGGCCCCUCCUCACCUGCUGUUUGGUGGCUUCCUUGGCCCUCUCAGAAAGGAGGGGCUCGUGUGGCCCCAGGCCAGUGUCUAUUAGGAUGGUUGCCCCGAGGCGCUCCAGGCAGGCGUCCUGGGGUCUCGAGAGGCUCUUGCAGGAAUGAAGCAUGGCAGUGCCUGCAUCCAGGUCUGGGAACACCCUGGGCGAGGCCUGGGGGUUUCUGAAAGUGGAGGCCUUCCUUUCCAAACUUGGACAGCGCCCAUUUUUAGUGUUUAUGUCUCAAGUCUGAAAAACAAUAGCAUUUGUCUUGAGUGAGGAAGUGAAGCCCCUGUAUUUAUAGCAGGAGAGGGCUCUGAGACACAGGCCUGUCCUCAGGGAGAGCCUUGAGAGUACAGCUGGGACCACCGGCAGCCCCCAUAGCAGGUGCUGUGGGUGCUCGGGAGUUGAGUGACAUCAGCAGGGCUCCUUGACUGUGGGUGUCACAGGCAUUUCUCAAAGGAGUCAGGGGAGUCAGUGGGUGUGAAGGUGAACAGGAUGGUCUGGUAGCAGGGAUAUUUCCACGAGCCACAAAUAUCAGAAACUGAAGCGAGGCUCCCAGCAGGAAGCAGGGGAAGCUGCUUCCAGA